ACGGGAGGCAGCAGUGGGGAGUAUUGCACAAUGGGGGAAACCCUGAUGCAGCGACGCCGCGUGAGUGAAGAAGUAUUUCGGUAUGUAAAGCUCUAUCAGCAGGAAAGAAAAAAAUGACGGUACCUGACUAAGAAGCCCCGGCUAACUACGUGCCAGCAGCCGCGAUAAUACGUAGAGGGCAAGCGUUACCCGGAUUUACUGGGUGUAAAGGGAGCGUAGACGGCAAAGCAAGUCUGAAGUGAAAUGCGGGGGCUUAACCCCUGAACUGCUUUGGAAACUGUUUAGCUAGAGUGCAGGAGAGGUAAGCGGGAUUCCUAGUGUAGCGGUGAAAUGCGUAGAUAUUAGGAGGAACACCAGUGGCGAAGGCGGCUUACUGGACUGUAACUGACGUUGAGGCUCGAAAGCGUGGGGAGCAAACAGGAUUAGAUACCCUGGUA
rnacentral:rRNA from 1 species